GUGGGGAAUCUUGCGCAAUGGGCGAAAGCCUGACGCAGCCAUGCCGCGUGAAUGAUGAAGGUCUUAGGAUUGUAAAAUUCUUUCACCGGGGACGAUAAUGACGGUACCCGGAGAAGAAGCUCCGGCUAACUUCGUGCCAGCAGCCGCGGUAAUACGAAGGGGGCUAGCGUUGCUCGGAAUUACUGGGCGUAAAGGGCGCGUAGGCGGACAGCUUAGUCAGAGGUGAAAGCCCAGGGCUCAACCUUGGAAUUGCCUUUGAUACUGGCUGUCUUGAGUUUGGGAGAGGUGAGUGGAACUCCGAGUGUAGAGGUGAAAUUCGUAGAUAUUCGGAAGAACACCAGUGGCGAAGGCGACUCACUGGCCCAAUACUGACGCUGAGGCGCGAAAGCGUGGGGAGCAAACGGGAUUAGAAACCCUAGUAGUCC
rnacentral:rRNA from 1 species